GUGUGUCUCUCCCUCCUUACCCAUCCUGUUGGGGCUCAGGCUUGCCCUCCAGAGCAGUCAGCAGGUGUGUGUGUGUCUCUCUCCUUACCUAUCCUGUUGGGGCUCAGGCUUGCCCUCCAUAGCAGUUAUCAGGUGUGUGUGUGUCUCUCUCCUUACCUAUCCUGUUGGGGCUCAGGCUUGCCCUCCAUAGCAGUUAUCAGGUGUGUGUGUGUCUCUCUCCUUACCUAUCCUGUUGGGGCUCAGGCUUGCCCUCCAUAGCAG